CAGUAAUAAUCGACCCUUUAUUGUAUGUGAUGUGCGAUACUUACAGUAAGGUGUUUUUUUGAAAAGAGUGAAGAGAGGAACUUAUUCCCGAAAUCGGAGAUUUUGAUUAUGCUAACACAAUCAGUUAUCGACAAAUUUGAGACUACUGUCUCAAAGAUCAUAUAAUCCAAGUAAAUGAAACUUUGAAAUUGCAGUCUAAGAAAAUUUAAAGUGGGAUAAAAUAUUAAAAUUUAGACCUUGGAUAUCAAAUGUCAGGCUUGGAACUCGUUGCUCGAGACAGCAAGUCUGAAAUAGAAAAUAAUGCUGAAGCUGCCAAAAUCUACUUUCACGAAGUCUACUGCAGAGACGACGAUGAAAGGAAUUGGUCUUUCUCUUAUCUCAGGGAGCAACUUUUACUGAAAAAUUCCCAAGAGCUGUUUAGAAAAUAUCAAAUGAGAAUACAACAUGCUUUGUUUGUUGAACUCCUCGUAUUCAAUUUAGCAUACAAUGCCUUAUCAUUUAGUGCUUUCCUUUUUCUGCCACAGUUGGAUUCACUAUCUGAGGUUUCUAUUGGCGCUGUAAAGACUGGACGAUGGUGCAGAAGUCUUAAUUUCUUUCUGAAUCUUGUCAUUUUCAUAGCAGCUUACUGUAAAGAAAACUUGUUUAAAAGUCCUUACACAAAAAUUACAGUAGCCGGCGUUGUCUUGGGAAGCAUGGUCACAGGAGAAAUGGCAACAACAAUUUACAGGAUCACUAAGGGUGAACUAGAACCGACAAUGAGACAAACAUACUACGUAGUUCUCACAACGUGUGUACUCCUACCAUUUCCUAGAAAAACUUAUAGUGCAAUAUCAGGGGCUUCAGUCAUAGUUAUUGACAUCACAUUAUCAAUUUUCAGCUCACUCAAUUCUAAUAAACUAGUAGUUCUGCUUGCUGAUUUAGCUUUCAUGACUACGACACUCUUUGUUGGUUUAUUCAUUAGAUACAUCAUAGAAAUCAUGAAUAGGCGUGCAUUUUUAGAUAGAAGAGAAUGUCUUGAAUCGAAGAUUAAGAUAGAAACUGCAAAAAAUCAAGAGGAAUUGUUUUUACAAAGUAUUCUUCCAGUGCAUAUAGCCAGAGAGGUUCGUGAAGAUUUAAGGAAUAUCAUAAAAAAUGCGAAUCAAAUACGCAUUGUUCACAAACCAUUUAACAAGCUCUAUGUAGAAAAGCAUAAAGGUGUCAGCAUUUUGUACGCUGAUAUAGUGAAUUCCAUGCUACUUACUGCAAGUCUUAAGGCAUCGGAUUUGGUUGCAACACUUAAUGAUCUAUUUGGAAGAUUUGACAAAUUGACAGAGAAAAAUAAUUGCAUGAGAAUAAAAUUUCUCGGAGAUUGUUACUAUCUAGUAAGCGGUUUUCCAGAAAAAACUUCCAAGCAUGCAGAUAAUUGUGUUUUGACUGGACUUGAAAUGAUUGAGACCAUUAGGAGGGUUCGUGAAAGAAGGAAUGUUAAUGUGGAUAUGCGCAUAGGUGUACAUAGUGGUAAUAUUUUAGGAGGAUUGCUUGGACUAAGAAAAUGGCAGUUCGACAUAUGGUCAAAAGACGUUACGAUUGCUAGUCACAUGGAGCAAGGCGGGGUGCCAGGCCAGGUCCAUAUCACGAGGAGCACAAAAGAGCAAUUAAUUGAUACUGAUUACGAUAUUGUUCCAGGAGAAGGUUAUUUACGUGACAGUUAUUUACAAGAGGAAGAAAUCGAAACAUUUUUAAUACGUCCCUCUCGUCCAUUGAAGAUAGCAUUUGAUAGCUUAGAUAGCUCAGAGAGCGAAAUGAAUAAAGAAUCGAAUAAUGCUCGAUUUCAACGACAAAUAUCAAGAGGAAUUUCGAAAAUCAGUCUUAAUGCAGCUACAAAGCGGCAGUCCAGCAAUGAAAGCCUUCUACCGCUGCAUAGACGUGGUGCAAGCACAGUUACAACAGACAACAGUUUAAACCAGUUCAGAAAGAUGGUGCGACAUGUAAAUAAAAUAAUGGAAAACACUAUCUAUAAGAUGGCUCUUAGCAAAAAAGAUCAGUGGUCAAGCAGUGUUGGUAUUCAUCCUCUCUUAUUGUUUUUUCGAGAAUUUGGAAAAGAAAAACCGUAUCUGGAGCAGCCAGAUCCACUCUUCAAACAUUAUUUACUCUGUGUGGUUGUAAUUUUUCUUGGAUUAACAACUAUUCAUUUACUCAUAAUGUCCAGUACCUUAGAGUUUUGGCUUACUUAUGGGGCAGCUCUUGUGCUUAUUAUAAGUGCAUGCGUUCCUGCUUGGUAUGGAUACAUUUGGAUAUAUCUAAAGCAAGAUGAAAACGAUCAAUUACUAAACUCAUCAGCUCUGAAAGUUUCUCGAACAGUAUGGAAAUCUACAGUGUUGCGAAUGACGAUAUGGUUUGUUGUAUCCAGUGUCGUACUGUUUUGCUCUCUUCAAGGACUAAGUGAUUGUUUCUUUAAUCCCGCUCACCGAGGAAAUUCAUCCUCAACACCAGUCAAGUUUUCUUCGGAUUUAGGCUGCGAAUAUCCUUGGUUCUAUACACUGUGUGCAGCUCUAGCCAUGACAACAACGUCUGUAUUCUUAAGAAUCCAUUUCCUUUUGAAACUCAUUCUCAAUGGAGUAGCUUUAUCAAUUAUUUGGUAUAGGAUGGACGAAGGCAAAGAAGACAUUUUCGAACAAGCAUCUGCAAAACUAAGUGAUUGGGAAGAAUUCGGCUUUCCGGCUGAUCGAAGUCAUUGCUAUUAUUUAACAUUUGUCCUUCUCAUUCUUCAUAUCUUAGACAGACAAAUAGAAUAUGUUUGUCGGUUGGAUUUUUUGGAGAAGGUCAAGCUAAGGGCAGAGCAAGAGGAAGUCAAAACAAUGGAAAUGUUGAAUCGUAUUUUGUUGUUUAACAUUCUACCUCCACACGUUGCCCGUUUUUAUCUCACCAUGCAGUUAGAAAGUCAUGGUCAGCGAGUGGAGGUGGGAUCAUUCCAUGAAGAACGUUGCGCCGUUGCUGUUCUCUUUGCAUCUAUUCCAAGUUUUGCAGAUUUCUAUUAUGAAGAUAAGCAGAAUGAAGAAGGACUACGAUGCAUUCAGCUCCUGAAUGAAAUAAUAUGUGACUUUGAUAAACUUCUUCGUCAAAGAGAGUUUCAAGCCGUGGAAAAAAUAAAAACUAUAGGCAGCACUUACAUGGCAGCAUGUGGGUUACAAACACAAGAAAAAUUUCAGAAGAAAAUCCAACCGGUAAUGUUGCAACAUUGUCUAAAUUUGCCGCAGCCAUGAUGCAUGCAUUACAUGAACUUAAUAAAGAUGCAAUGCAAGAUUUUCAACUCAGAGCAGGCAUUUCAGUUGGCCCCGUGAUGGCAGGAGUAGUUGGAACAGUAAAGCCUCAAUACGACAUCUGGGGAGAUACUGUGAAUGUCGCAAGUCGAAUGGACAGUACCGGCAUUCCCGGAAGAAUACAGGUUAC
rnacentral:misc_RNA from 1 species